rnacentral:rRNA from 1 species
UACAGAGGUCUCAAGCGUUGUUCGGAUUCAUUGGGCGUAAAGGGCGCGUAGGCGGCGGGGUAAGUCGGGUGUGAAAUCUCAGAGCUCGACUCUGAAACUGCACUCGAUACUGCUCUGCUUGAGGACUGGAGAGGAGACUGGAAUUCACGGUGUAGCAGUGAAAUGCGUAGAUAUCGUGAGGAAGACCAGAGGCGAAGGCGGGUCUCUGGACAGUUCCUGACGCUGAGGCGCGAAGGCCAGGGGAGCAAACGGG